UCCCUGGUGGUCCAGUGGUUAGGACUCAGCACUUCCACUGCUGGGGCCCAGGUAAGAUUCCUGGUUGGGGAA